GGCUCGAGGACGAACGCUGGCGGCGUGCCUAAUACAUGCAAGUCGAACGGUCUUUUCUAUGGAAGCUUGCUUCCACUGAGAAGGUAGUGGCGAACGGGUGAGUAACACGUGGGUAACCUGCCCAUAAGAGGGGGGAUAACAUCCGGAAACGGGUGCUAAUACCGCAUAGUUUUCUUGAUCGCAUGAUCGGGAAAGGAAAGACGGCCUUUGUGCUGUCGCUUAUGGAUGGACCCGCGGCGUAUUAGUUAGUUGGUGAGGUAACGGCUCACCAAGACGAUGAUACGUAGCCGACCUGAGAGGGUGAUCGGCCACAUUGGGACUGAGACACGGCCCAAACUCCUACGGGAGGCAGCAGUAGGGAAUCUUCCGCAAUGGACGAAAGUCUGGCGGAGCAACGCCGCGUGAGUGAAAGAAGGUUUUCGGAUCGUAAAACUCUGUUGUCAGAGAAGAACAAGUUGGAGAGUAACUGCUCCAGCCUUGACGGUAUCUGACCAGAAAGCCACGGCUAACUACGUGCCAGCCGCCGC
rnacentral:rRNA from 1 species